ACUUUUCCAAGUUUGACCAUUCUUCAUAAGAUGAUUUGCAUUUUAACAACAUUAACUGAUAUUGGUUUGCUAGGCUUUGAUCCAGCCAAGGACCAAAUUAUCACAUGCCAUUCAUUCCUCAUAAGCAGGAUUUACUUCAUUCUCUAUUCUUGGAGCAGGGCUAGGCUCAAUACCAGUCACAAACUUCAUGAACUUAUAAUUUUCCCUUAAGGCACACUCAAACUAGUUUCGCCAGGACAAGUAAUUUGAUCUUUCCAACUUAUCCGGUACCAUACUGAAUAUGUUGUAUGAUACAUGACCAAAAUGCAUAUUUGGUGUUGCAGGUAUCACUGGUUGUGUAGGUGUUAAGGUCUAUCCAUUUUACCUUUGAAACAAAAUUAAUUCAGAAAAUAUUAUGAGAGAUGAAGAACUUGAUUCCAAAGAACUAAUAGAAACUAUCAGGAUCUACAGAACAUCUGAUACCAUGUAAAGAAGCUAAACUAAUGACAGAAACAGAAUUUGUGAUUCACAUGUAUCGAAUUGGAUAAAGAUUAUGGAUAAUUGUAUUG
rnacentral:lncRNA from 1 species